GAUGAACGCUGGCGGCGUGCUUAACACAUGCAAGUCGAACGAAACACCUUAUUUGAUUUUCUUCGGAACUGAAGAUUUGGUGAUUGAGUGGCGGACGGGUGAGUAACGCGUGGGUAACCUGCCCUGUACAGGGGGAUAACAGUCAGAAAUGACUGCUAAUACCGCAUAAGACCACAGCACCGCAUGGUGCAGGGGUAAAAACUCCGGUGGUACAGGAUGGACCCGCGUCUGAUUAGCUGGUUGGUGAGGUAACGGCUCACCAAGGCGACGAUCAGUAGCCGGCUUGAGAGAGUGAACGGCCACAUUGAGACUGAGACACGGCCCAAACUCCUACGGGAGGCAGCAGUGGGGAAUAUUGCACAAUGGGGGAAACCCUGAUGCAGCGACGCCGCGUGAGUGAAGAAGUAUUUCGGUAUGUAAAGCUCUAUCAGCAGGGAAGAAAAUGACGGUACCUGACUAAGAAGCCCCGGCUAACUACGUG
rnacentral:rRNA from 1 species